CUGGAUCCUUCACAUUGUGCAUGUGGGAAGGGGAAAUGAGGAAAUGUACAGCUCAGGGAGAAAAGUGGGAGACAAAGUUUUAAACGCGUCCUACCCGAUCCGCCGAUCUGGAAUCCCAAAUGGCACCAGAGAGCUGGCCGCGAGCCAGGAGCUGUGAAGCCAGGAGGUGGCCGUGGAGCAGAAAUAGGAGUCAAGGGAGGAAACUAGCCAAGUGACUCUGGAGACAAGUAUUUCUGUCAAAGGGAACCUGGGGCGAAGGAGGGACACUUGGAGUUUGUGUGACCAGAUGGCCCCGUGACUGGAUGAGGUAUUAGAGAGAGAAGGUAAGCGAGGCCAGAACCCACACUGGCCUCGAGGACACCCGGAGGUUCUGAGGCCGCUAGAACCACGGGCGUUGACCACAGAACGGCUUGUUCUGGUUUCUGCUCUUCAAGUAGGGCUCUGACGGCUGGGAGGAGACAGGGACCAGGGAGGAACCCAGGAGCCCACAGUCCCCAUGACACGUGGUCUCCGGUGAAGGUGGCGAGAAGGGGUCGGGCUGGAUCUGUUUGCAGAGCAGCACGCCCGGCUUGCUCAGGGAGUGGAAGUGGGGUGUGAAGAAGCGGGGCCGAGCAGGCUCAAGGGUUUGCUCAGCGGCAGCAAGGAUGGAGCGAGCUGAGAUGGAGAAGAUGCGGGAGGGGCAGAUUUGGAAGGAAUGGCGAGGCCAGGGUGAACGAGCGUGAACGAAUGAAUCUUUCUCCGAGGCGCGCAACAGAAGGCCAGCCCCACGGGCAGCACCCUAACUGCCUGGUCCCCUGAAGGAAAACUCGGACAAGUUGGGGCGGCUCCUUUAAGAGGGCCCCGCCCCCUCCCGAGGCCCCGCCCCGAUCGAUCACGUGCC